CUAUUUCUAAUAUCUGAACAUACAAGAAAACUAUAAUCUCUUCCUUCACCUUAUCGGUCUCUUUCUUACAGCAAUUCAGUCAUACCAAUAACUACUAUUUCCACCAAUAUAUUCACCCUCAUAAUCUCCAAUUGUAAUAUUGUGUCCUUAUAGCUUUCAGCACACAAUUAUCCUCGUUUCAAUCAUUGGAAUUCUUUACACAGAACUGCCAUUCACAUUACAGUGUUUCACACAAAUACAGACUCAAUCUCUCUG
rnacentral:lncRNA from 1 species